rnacentral:misc_RNA from 1 species
GAGUGAAAAUCAUGUAAACAACAUGGUUGACAACGUUGCUGUCAUGAUCGGAUAAUACACUAAGAAGUGCACGGGUGCUUUGGUACCAUGUCCAUUAUAUCCAUGUCCCGUCUUAAUUUCUAAUCAAACUGGCACACUUUCAAUUUUGAAUUACGUCCAUUGUCAUAAUCCCCGAGGUCCAAGUAGACAGAUUAGACAUGGCUUUGAAAGGGCAGGGGUCGCCCGGUCAAACGGAUACAUUUGACGGUAUUCGAAAUGGGAAUGAACCUAGCGGCCAGGGACCUACAAUACUCUCCGAUAACAACGAGCUCUCCUACAUUGUGUAUGAACACGACCCAGACUUGAUUGUAGAGAUUGACAUCCCCCUUGAUGAUAACGAACCCGUCAUAAAUGGUCACUCGAGGGGACCAACAGGUACUAAUAUACAUGUAUCAGGUGGUCAUUCUACCAGGAAGACUUCAUCCAAGGCCAAGUCAAACUCACCGGUGAAAACAAGAGGACGUCCAAUCCAAUCUCACGAGAUGGAACCAUUCCUUAGUGUAGAUAAUCUACCACCCGAGAAACGGGCGUCCCAGACAGUGAACUCUGGGAGCUCCAAGUCUCGUCGGAAGAUAAAAUCCUCUCCUGGUCCAGGAAAUCGUUCCUCGUUGUCCGGUCACUCUCCUUACGGUUCUCCUGCCUUCUUCCUCAGGAAUGGUAGACUGACGCCUGCAUCAUCUGUGUUCGUCACUCGGGAGGAUUCACCGAAAAAAUUAAACCACUGCAUCAAGAACCCAUUCAAACACUCUGUAAACUACACAACAGACGACUUGAACAUUGAGCGAGGAAAGACAGCCGAGCAUUGUAAAUCACCCUCAGGUGAGAUGGCGCAGAGAACAGCCUUUGCCACCUUCCAUAUGGGCAAGGUCCUCGCAAAGAACAACACGGAAAGUCCACCAAACAAACAGGGAAAGCUGCUCAAGGGAAAUCCUCCACGUCCACGUUCUGAGCCAUCUCGCAGAUUGCAGCCUCUGAAGCCGGUGGCUAUAGGCAGCGGUCCUACCAUUAGACAGUGCCGUGGCAUUGUGGCAGAAACAAAGAGUUAUGGUGCCCCGCCUAAUCGGACACUGGCUCGUCGUCGGGAAAUUGUCCAACAGAUACCCAACAUUCAUGAGUAUCUGUAUGAACGCCCACACACUGUUGAAAGUAUUCAUCGUACGUCCGAGGCUUCCAGUGUAGACGAAAACCGGGACAACAAUGUCAAGGUGGACUUCUCUGACCUUGACCUGGCAGAGAGACUUGACAGAGCUACUCCUACACCUACUGACCGUAACGUACCUCUGGGUCCUCCUGUCAGCGCCGCCUCACAGGAGCGUCAGAAACGAGGAGAUGAGUCCCAAGACCCAAGAGUGUUUGCCACAGAAAUCAGCACCAGCAGAACGGUUCCAGAAACCACAGACAUCAGCGAAAUUACAGCUGAAGAAUUACACAACAAAUUGAAUCUACAAAAUACUUCCAGCAAUGCCAAAACUGAGAAUGUACAGUGGAGAGACACUGAUACAGACAUAGGAGUAAUUAGUGAAGAGAGUCCAGUGCUGUCCAGACCACAGACAGCUGGUAGUGGACAGGGUCAGUCUCCGACAGCUGACAACAAUGUCCAAACACAAUCACGGCCACAUACUGCUGGAAGUGAUCAACUCCAGUCCAGACCUCAGACAGCCAGUAAGUCUGUACGCUUUGCUGAAGAUCCCACCAAAGAAAAAAAGGGACAAAAAUCAGGGAAAGACACAUGUAAACCUAGUGACCUAAGUAACGGUGACAACAGGGAUGAUGACUCAGAUGACCAAGGUCGUCCUAGUAGUAGGGAUAAAGGUCAGAGAUCAGGUCAGGGUGAAAUCAGGUUAAUUUCAGCUGGAAAUGCAGGACGGAGUUCAGCAGAAAGUGACAAACGAACCUCUUCAUCAAAGAGUGACAAUCAAGGGAAACAACAAAGUUUGAAAUGUUUGCAAAGCGAUAGACUUGAAAAUAAAGAGAAGACAACUGUUAAGCAAACAGUGUGUUUAAGAUAUGAGAGGAGUAAAGAUUUCAAGAAACCCUCCACCCUUCAGAUACAGGCGGUGGGACAUGGAGGGCAAGUUCAUACACUUAUUUGUCCAGAGAGUCCCACUAGCAGAAGUAGGUCACCAAGUCCUCAAAGAAGGGGUCAUAGGUCACCGAGUCCACAGAACAGAGGUCAUAGGUCACCUAGUCCACAGCACAUAGGUCCAGGGUUACCAACCAAUCAGAAAAAUACAAAGCAAUCUAAACACAACAAGAGUAACCGACUUAUAAGACCAUCAUCAGCCAAUAUGUCAGCAAGGCAACAGACGACAUUCAGGGCACAAAAAUCCAGUAAUACGAAAGUUUGUUUUGAAGAGGACCGACCCCAACACAAAUCUAUAUUUGUUGAAAAUGAGGAUGGCGAUGAGUUGUAUGUAGGGAUCCGGGAAGACCAGGCUCUCACCUUUGAGGACAUUGAGGCUGAGCUGAGGGCACUACAGGAGGACAUUCAGGACAGACGUGUAGCUGAGGAACACAGGGAUGUACUACAGGACGACAGCAGUGAUGACAGCACUGUUGUGGAGGACAGGAUCGACGAAUCAGAUCAUUAUUUACUAGGACUGAGCCAGUCAGAAGAGGAUCUACUGGCUGAUGUAAGGAGUGAGGAUCCUGUGGAUGACAUCCAGCAGGAUUGCUGGGGAGACUUGUCCGGUUUGUUAGCUAUUUAUAGGAGGAAGUGUAUGGAGGUUAGUGAGAACUGUGGGGAAAUCAGUGGCAAGCUGACCACUCCUCGUAAACCAAAGGUCAAACGACGACCUUACAGUGCCGGCAGUACCUCCUUAUAUCGCAAAGAUAGUUGUCAGUCUGUGUACACAGUGGACAGUGGUAAGGGGGAGAGCUCAGGGGUGGUCACAACAGACGGAAGUGUCGUUGGUCUGUCUCACGCUACUUCUAAUCUCACUCUGGACAGUGGACUCAGUUUAGCUGAUAGUGAUGCAAGGUCAAGGGUCAAUGACCAGUCCAAGCUGGACAGUAUAACACUGGUGCAGGACUCUCGUGAAACGGACGGUGAAGCAGUGUCCAGGGGAGGAGAUUCCUGUGUGACAGGAGGAACUGUGCCUCCACUGGAGCUCCACACCAAACAACAGGUGGAGCCACUGGAGCUCCCCACCAAACAACAGGUGGAGCCACUGGAGCUCCCCACCAAACAACAGGUGGAGCCACUGGAGCUCCACACCAACCAACAGGUGGAGCCACUGGAGCUCCACACCAACCAACAGGUGGAGCCACUGGAGCUCCACACCAAACAACAGGUGGAGCCACUGGAACUCCUCACCAAACAACAGGUGGAGCCACUGGAACUCCACACCAAACAAGCACCACAGGUGGAGCCACUGGAAGCUGAGCUUGUGGUAGAGGAUGUUGAUGAAGACCGAACAAUAGUGGACACCAAGGCACUGCUGGAGAUAGUGUGUGAGGAACUAACCACUCAUCAAAAGAAACUACAGCAGGAUGCAGAAAUGCCACUAAUACCUAAAGUGGAGCCUGUACCUCCAAAGGAAGAUCUCGAGAUUGUAGCUGAGGUGAAGACUUUAAACAAACAGAAAAAGAAGAAGGCACCACGAAGCGGCCCUAUUGCCCCGUUUGCUCCAGUUUGUUUUGAGAUCAAUGCCAGACCACCAAAGGGAUACCUGUAUUACUUUGCCUAUGGUACAGAGAUGAGCAUAUCAAGGCUUACCACCUAUAUUAAGAGGGAGCCACAGCGUUACUGGGGACUCCUGUUCGGUUUCCAGCUGGUAUUCAAUAAGAAAGGUGCUGACUUAGAGGCGGGAGGCUUUGCCAACAUAGAGUUUAAUCCCUACAGCUCUGUGGAGGGGUGUGUCUACCCAAUUACACAGCAGGAACUGCUUCUACUGGACAAGCAUGUCGGCUAUCCUGAGCACUAUGAACACCUUGUGACCCCACUGUGGCUGAUGAACUCCCUAGAUGACCCUAACGACUACGGUGUGGCCCAGUACUGUGUACCUGCUCUCACCUUCAUUGCCCAGGACAGGUGGAUAGAGACAGAAGAAAAAUUGGAUUGCAGUGGAUCGCUUUCUCAAUGCAUCAAGAGUUCCGAUAUGGUUACACCAGGUUACCAUGAUCACAUGGUCAAUGUGGGCGCAAUAAACAGUGGCAGAGAGCAGAUCGCCGCAGCUUAGUUAUAACAUCAUCUCACUAUAGCUCAUAGGUCCUUUGGUGCGUUAAGGAGGUUAGAUGGAGGAUUCACCAGCCAGAUAAUUCACCUCAGUAUUCAACAGGAGUAUUCAACAAGAGGAAUAUUCACCAGGCUGAUAUUCAAACUUGGUAUUCAACCUAAGUAUUCAACAGGAGUAUUCCACAUGAGUAUUCCGCAGGAGUAUUCCACAAGAGUAGUAAUCAAUACAAACAGUAUUUAAGACAGAUGUUGAGCUAACAUACGUCCAAGUCUAGGACAUCACACAGGUCCAUUGACAACUUAGGUACUUCCUGCCGCUGUUUAGAGUACCCUGCGUGUACUGACCUCCUGUUUAGAGUACCCUGCGUGUACUGACCUCCUGUUUAGAGUACCCUGCAUGUACUGACCUCCUGUUUAGAGUACCCUGCGUGUACUGACCUCCUGUUUAGAGUACCCUGCGUGUACUGACCUCCUGUUUAGAGUACCCUGCGUGUACUGACCUCCUGUUUAGAGUACCCUGCGUGUACUGACCUCCUGUUUAGAGUACCCUGCGUGUACUGACCUCCUGUUUAGAGUACCCUGCGUGUACUGACCUCCUGUUUAGAGUACCCUGUGUGUACUGACCUCCUGUUUAGAGUACCCUGCGUGUACUGACCUCCUGUUUAGAGUACCCUGCGUGUACUGACCUCCUGUUUAGAGUACCCUGCGUGUACUGACCUCCUGUUUAGAGUACCCUGCGUGUACUGACCUCCUGUUUAGAGUACCCUGCGUGUACUGACCUCCUGUUUAGAGUACCCUGCGUGUACUGACCUCCUGUUUAGAGUACCCUGCGUGUACUGACCUCCUGUUUAGAGUACCCUGCGUGUACUGACCUCCUGUUUAGAGUACCCUGCGUGUACUGACCUCCUGUUUAGAGUACCCUGCGUGUACUGACCUCCUGUUUAGAGUACCCUGCGUGUACUGACCUCCUGUUUAGAGUACCCUGCGUGUACUGACCUCCUGUUUCCCCCUGAUUGACAUCAGAUCAACAUUAAUACCUGACAACCACCAUACCAUUAGAUUUGAUUUAAUUUGUACUGAAUGAAUUCUACACCAGUUUAUUUCUACUCCAAACUAUUUGCUCAAACUGAAUAUUUAUAUAAAUAUAUAUAUUUUAGUGAUCAGUAUUAAAUCAUUCUUCUCUCAUCAAUGUAUAUACCAAUGUGUACAAAUAUCAUUUAUCAAAAGUACUUUCAAAAUAUUUAUAUUUCUAAGGUUACAUAACAAUAAUUGUCCUGUAUAAUAUGUAUAUGAUCUAUGUGACAUAGACAAGUAUUUCUACUGUUUAUGUUUAUAUGUUAAUCAGAUCUGAUGUAGGUUGUUAUUUUAUCCUGUUAUAAGAGGUUAUCCCCCUUUGGUAACUAGUACCUGUCAGUCUAGUAUCCAGGCAGUUCUAAGGGAUUGUCUCUCUUCAGUAACAAGAGUGCUGGCUAGUUUUGUUUCCAGACUGUUAUAAGAGGUUAUCCCCCUUUGGUAACUAGUACCUGUCAGUCUAGUAUCCAGGCAAUUCUAAGGGAUUGUCUCCCUUCAGUAACAGGUGCUAAUUAGUUUUGUUUCCAGACUGUUAUAGCAGGUUAUCCCCCUUUGGUAACAAGUGCCUGUCAGUCUGGUACCCUGGCAGUUUUUUAAAAUGAUUUUUCGGUCUGGUAUCUGGGCAGUUAGGAGGAAUUGUCUCCCUUUAAGAAUUGAUGUUUAUCAGUCUGAUGUCUAGAAUGUCUACCUGUAACAUGUCAAGAACUGUAUCUAUCUCUUUGUAAUUUCUAUAUAAUUGGUCUUGCAGACACCACUUCUGCAGAACUCAUCUUCUUUUCUCAAGUAUUUAUGCAUAUGCUUAUUGUGUUAACAGAGUUUAUUUAUAUAGCCUGUAUAGAAAUAGUCUAUACAGAGUUGUUAUAAGAUACCUCCUUUACUUGAACGGUUUUAUGUUUUUGAGUAUUGUGUAUAAGCUACUUGUUUGUUUUGAUUAAGAUAAUGGACAUUCUUGAGCUGUGGUCCUCAUCCUGUGUGUAAGAAAACAUGGACAAAUAUCAAUAAACGUAUUGUUAAAGUUAUUUUUAUUUAUCAUAGUAAAUUAACAUUUCUGUAGAUUUGAUAUAUAAAUGCAAAAUGUAUUUUACUAUGAGCUUUAGUGGAAUGCCAAAGAAGGAAGGACACACUUUGUAUGUUGCUUUGCUUGUUAGGUGAUAUCCUGUCAAUUGUAUUACAGUUACCACCAUCAGCUACAAUUGUGGAAUAAAAUCUUGUAUAAACCCCUUUUUAUAGUCAGUAACGGCAAUCACAUAGCGUUUCCCUCCUUUAUCAUCUAGGGCGGUAAUCAUGUGACGUCUCUUUUCUUCUGCGUCUGGAGCGGUGGUCACGUGAGGUUACCAUCUUUUACUGUCUAUGACGGCUAUCAGAAACAUUUGCUUCCACUAUCGUCAGGUGUAGCAGUCACGUGAUUCUCUAUCCUUUACUGUAUGUUGCGGUAGUCAUGUGACUGCUAUCCUUUACCGUAUGUUGCGGUAGUCACGUGAAUCGCCAUCCUUUACCGGGCCUCAGACCACAAUUAAUUCUACUAUAUGUUACUACCAAACGCAAAAUUAAAUUAAAUUAUUUUAAAACUUUGAGCAGGGUCUGGUUCCUAUUUCAUACUGUAGGUCUAUUCAGACUGAACAUACAGUGAGCUGGAAAGUACCUCAUGACCGGCAUUUAAGAAAGAUAAUUUCAUUUGAAUGCCACUUCCCUGCAUGUAUAGGGGAAAAUACCAAAAAUCACAAAAUAUCACUACCCAAGCCUCAUCACUCAUUGUGUCCUGCUGCCAAUACAAACUAGGAAACUGUCAAAUAAAUUUAAUCACUAGAAUAGAUAUUGUUGAACAAUUCUAUGUAAAACAAAUGUACAUAUCUGUCAUAGAUCAGACAGGAAAAUAUAUUUAUUAACCCACCUGAAAUGUCCGUAUGCACUACAUUCGCGUACAACGACCCGGAAGUGUAAUUGUGGUCUGAGGCCACCGUAUGUUGCGGUAGUCACAUGAUUCUCUAUCCUUUAUCGUGCGUUGUGGUAGUCACGUGAUUUCGUACACCAUGCUGUGUCUGAUGCAUAUCUAUAAUUACCAACUCUUCCCUGUGAUAACUUAUCCGUCCAGCCUAAGUCUGAUAUCUUGUGUUAAUGGAAAUAUUUUUAUUACUGAUAUUUAUUUACUUUUAGAAAGAUUAAUUUACAAAUGUACGGUAUAUUUAUUAACUUGUUUUUCUCAAGUAAAAUGUUUUUGUUUCCU